UACAUGUGGGGCAAGCGUUGUUCGGAAUUACUGGGCCUAAAGGGUGCGUAGGCGGCUUGUUAAGUCAGGGGUGAAAGUUUUCGGCCCAACCGGAAAAUUGCCUUUGAUACUGGCGAGCUCGAGUGCGUGAGGGGUAACCGGAACGAGUGGUGUAGCGGUGAAAUGCGUAGAUAUCACUCGGAAGGCCAAUGGCGAAGGCAGGUUACGGUACGCAACUGACGCUGAGGCACGAAAGCGUGGGGAGCAAACAGG
rnacentral:rRNA from 1 species